UAGCAGCUUCUGACUGGUGAGUAGCGAUGUGCCAAUUUAUCCCAAAUUAGACAUGCCAUUCUUCAGUAAAAAUCUUUUUUUCUCUGCUGUAAGGCGGAAGAAAGAGAAGGACUGUUAUUUGAAGAACGGAAGUUGUGUGCUUCAGGAGCUUCUUGCUUUAUGCGACGGAAAUUGCAGAGUUCCCAUCCGUUACUUCUCUGCCAUAGAGAUCAAUAAUGCAAUAAAAAACUCUCAAACCAAAAUGGAACUUGCUGAUGUGUCUAUGGUUACGGGAUUACUAGGCAACCGCCCUGUAUUAGUUAGGUUCAAUAAAUGGACCUACAAUAUCCAUCGAGAUAUAGCGAUUACUGCUCAGAUGAGUCAUCUGAAGAAUGUGCUGAGACUAAUCGGUUGCUGUCUAGAGUUUGAAGAGCCAGUUAUCGUGUAUGAAUAUGUUAAAGGUAUAUCUCUUAGCGAUCUACUUUUCAAAAAGGGUAAUCUUAAUAGAAAAUCGUCCUUGUCUUGGGGAAGUAGAUUACGAGUUGCACGUGAUGUCGCUUCUGCAGUCGUUUUCCUCCAUACUGAAUUUACUACGCCAAUCAUCCACAGAAAUAUAAAGUCAUCUAAAGUGAUAAUUGAUGAGAUCUGCGGUGUUGCCAAAAUAGUAGACUUCUCGCUCUCCAUAUCACUGCCUCCAGGGGAAUUGGAGGUACAAGAUCAGGCGUGUGGAACAAUGGGGUAUGUAGCUCCAGAAAAUUUAGCCUCAGGUAUUAGUACUCAAAAAACUGAUGUCUACAGCUUUGGGAUUCUUCUCUUACUGAUAUUAACCGGAAAGGACGUGUACGAUAUUAUUGACAGAGUGGAUUCUAUAAAACCAGAAGAGAAAAUACAUUUUGGAGAAGACUCGGGUAAUUCUACGAAUUCAAAAGAGACAAUAGUAGAUUUUAAAAAUCUUCCAACCUCUUACGUCCUUCUCGAUCACUAUAUUAAAGAGGCUAAUGUAAUGGAUAUAACGGACCCUAUCAUUUUAGAAGAGCAUGGUAUUGAUAUUCAACAACAGUUGGAAGACUACUUGGAUCUUGUUAAAAAAUGCACAGCUUUGAAGGGAGAUAAUAGACCCUACAUGAUUCAUGUCGCAAGGGAAUUGUGUCGAAUGGAAAAGUCUUUUCGUGCCCUCGCUCUUGGUCAGAAUUAACUGUUUAGAGGUAUUCGUAUUAGGUUCCGAUUUCAAGGAAAUUCAAUUUGUU
rnacentral:misc_RNA from 1 species